rnacentral:rRNA from 1 species
AGUGGGGAAUAUUGCACAAUGGGCGAAAGCCUGAUGCAGCCAUGCCGCGUGUAUGAAGAAGGCCUUCGGGUUGUAAAGUACUUUCAGCAGUGAGGAAGGUGGUAAAGUUAAUACCUUUAUCAUUUGACGUUAGCUGCAGAAGAAGCACCGGCUAACUCCGUGCCAGCAGCCGCGGUAAUACGGAGGGUGCGAGCGUUAAUCGGAAUUACUGGGCGUAAAGCGCAUGCAGGUGGUUUGUUAAGUCAGAUGUGAAAGCCCGGGGCUCAACCUCGGAAUUGCAUUUGAAACUGGCAGGCUAGAGUACUGUAGAGGGGGGUAGAAUUUCAGGUGUAGCGGUGAAAUGCGUAGAGAUCUGAAGGAAUACCAGUGGCGAAGGCGGCCCCCUGGACAGAUACUGACACUCAGAUGCGAAAGCGUGGGGAGCAAA